UGGAGUGUGAGGCCGGUCACAGCCUCCCUAUUCAUCUAUUUCUCUUAUCUAGGCCUGUGUUUCCGCCUACUAUUCUGGAGUGUGAAUUCAUUACACUUUGUGACACAAAAAGGGAAGGGGAUGGGGAAAAGGGACCAACUAACCUUACACCCAUUAAAAACCUCACCACUUUUCCACGACUUGGCUCUAUCUAAUCCUACACCAGGCCAACAAACCUGCGAGGACGAGACACUAUCAUUAAACACACCUUGUAAAUCUUCUGCAGUAAAAUCUCGUACACCCAAGUACUUCUCUGUAGCUGCCACCACAACAUAUAUUUUAUGUGAUUUACGUUCCAUUUCUGUGGUACAGUUGAUAACCAUGGCUAUGCCUCACUCUCUGUUGGCCUCAGUUUCCUCACAGGGAUCCUCUCAGGAUCUCUACCCAUCUUCCUCUCUUCACUGUCUCAGCAUACCACACCUUCUGUACUACUCUGAUCCUGGCAACUUCAGCCUGCCUUUCUCUCACUGGAAACUUCUGAUCCUCAGCAUCAUGGGUACCCCCAAAGUUAACACACAACUGUUUCCACCGAUACUGCAUAUUCUUUUGUUUCAUGCCCUCCUGCACACUUCUCACGGUCGCCUCUGUCUUCCGUAGGCUUAAACAAGCGCUAUAACAUGGAAAUAUGGCCGCCCGGCAUGGGAACUCUAAUCCUAAAAAGUUUGGUUCUUUAAACGUAAACGGUUUCCGUUACAACCGCAAGACGUAAUGAAUACAACCCUGCUAAUGAACUCGGAAUGUUUCACCGGUGGGAGGCGCCUGAUUUAAUUUUCUCACAGGUGAGAUGCAUAAAACAGGUAAGAUGAGGAUCGACGCCACUUCUGCUUCGUUUGUCAUCGGCGUUGAGGUAUUCACAGUGCUGUAAAAUGGGUUCCAAACUUGAGAGUGCAAUGGAGGGGCUAAUUCGAGUGUUCCACUCAUACUCCUCAAAAGAAGGGGACAAGUACAAGCUGAGCAAAGUUGAGCUGAAGAAUCUGUUGCAGGGUGAACUGAGUGACUUCCUGGCGGCAAGUAAGGACCCUAUGGUAGUAGAGAAGAUCAUGAGUGAUCUGGAUGAAAACAAAGAUGGCGAGGUGGACUUUCAGGAGUUUGUCAUCUUGGUUGCUGCGCUGACCGUGGCCUGUAACGAGUUCUUUGUAGAGAGCCUGAAUGAAUGAGUUUGGAAACAGUCUGUGACCUCGGCUUUCUACUCAUUAUUCCUUGUUAAUAAAACAAACAUGUAUGCUUUAAUUUAUUUGUACUUUUUGACAGAAACCGGCAAAGGUUUCAAUAUUGUCACAAUGGUUAUUACUAACAAAGGCUCUUUUUACAACAGUCAAAUGAUUACCGCUGUAGAGAAUCCUGCAAUGGACUGACCAGUUUCAGUGUACUGUCAUUGCACUAGUAGUUAACAUUCUGCUCAGAUCAAUAAAGGUGAUUGCGGUCUAAAUAUGUUAAACUCAGCUCAUCGUAGACUUGAAUGCGCAUUACUGGUACAUGUCUUUUGCAUGUGAAAUCUGGGGCUGUAUGAAUCAAUUGUCUCAAGAGUGCUGAUUUUAGGAUCAGUUUUGCCUUUUUAGAUCAGUGAAUAAGAUUACAUGGACAGUAGGGACUUGAUCCUAGAACAGCACUUGUACUGAGACUCUUCAUGUGGCCCCUGGUCUGCUACCUAUGCUUAAACAUGGCAAACUGCACCCAACAUUAUAGUGAAGGAUUUGCACUGAAAUACAUAACCCCCUUCUGUUUGGCUAAAAACAAACAGUUCUAAACCAAGUUCCCAUGAAGCAGACUGGUGAAACUGGCUGGCUGGAUUCUAAUCAAUCUUAAUGACAUGCAAGGCUUGCUUUAAAUCCAAUUUGCAAAAGAGAAACUGCUUUAGAUCCUGUGUGACGAUGCGUCGGCAGCAACAGAACACUGCAGUCUGACAACUUAAUACUGGAGUCUGUGGCCUAAGUCUGGAUGCUUCAGUCAUGUGUUAAACACUCCCUGUAACAAACUUAUGUCACGUGUGGUGCAGACUGUAAAAUUCAAACUAUUUGUGGCUCAAUAGUUAGAGGUACAUCAAGAUACUGUCUAUGGCACAUUUGUGGUCAUGAGUCAUGGACACCAAAGUAGGAUACAACCAAUGGUAUGUGGCGACUGUUCUUAUAAAAUGUGGUUGAUCACGAUGUACUUGGUGCAACUCUUGCGGGUUGAAUAAAUCGAAC
rnacentral:lncRNA from 1 species